CCAUAAUAAAAGUAACGUACGGUUUACACAACAGAUGUAAAGCAUUAGGAAAUACUGUAUAUAAUAUUGGGGAUCUGAGAGUGUUUUGAGAGUUUCUAUCAGACCAAACAGCUUUCGCAGUAAAUACCUUGUCAUCCCCAGAUUCGAUUCUGUUGCAUGUUUGUCACGUAUAUACACAUUAGGUUGACAAGGUAUUUACUGCAGAAGCUCUUUGGUCUUGGAAUUGUUGGUGCCACAGGAACCAGAGUUCUAUAUACCUUAAUCUCCCUUCUAAUAAAUAAAUGACUAUGAUUAGCCUCCAUAGAAGUCGAACACAAUUCAGCAAUGGGAAAUUUAUGAGAAGGUCACGACCACCCUCAAAGCUUCCCAAAGUUUUGCAGGAUAUCGUCGAUGCCACUUUGAUCUCUCAUAGGAAAACUGGUGCUGGAUUGGGAACUACGAGCGUCGAUGCUGAGACCACCGGCGGAACCCUCAGACGGAGCAGCUUAGGGCUAUGGCUUCUGUAAAUGAUAGCCCUUGAACAUUCACCGGAUUGAUUGCAAGUUUUGACAGGGAUAGUCUCUUAUUUGCCCUAGGCUAAACGCUGUCACCGCUUCUGUGUUGGGCUAGGCCGAGUGAUAGGCUUUUGUUGGAUAUUUUGUUGGGCCUGUCCACUAAUCGUGGCCGGCCUUUAUUUUGGCAACUUUGUAAAGUUUUACCAUUUAUACAAUACUUACCUUCCAAAAAAAUUUUUAUAAGUGUAAAUUUUUUAUUAAGAUGAGAUGAUUAGUACAUAAAAUAUAUGGAGGAGUGCUAAUUGCAGUCGAGCAAACGACUGUCCAUUCAUAGUCGCAGUAUGGACAUAAUCGCAUUUAGGAUUGUUUAGUUUUAAAUGCAUUAGUUAUGUGAAUGUAUUCUGGAAAAGGAAAAAAAUAUAGAUAAGAUAAUUCAUUCACAAGAUAUGGAUGGAUUCGGGAAAAAAUAAAAGAAAGAAGAAAAAAAAAAAAAAAAAGUGAGAAAAAAAUCCAAAAAGAAUAGAAAGAAAGGUAUAAAAAAAAAAUCGAUUAUAUAUUUCUUCCUUUUUUGUUUUUUCCUAUAUAUAUAUGUUUCUUUUUGUUUUUAUUUUUACAACUAUCCUUGUAUAAAUGGAUUUUAAGGGAAAAAAAAUGAAAUAAAAGAAAAGGAAAUAAUUCAUUCACCAAAAAAGAAAUAUAUACAUAUAUAAAACUAAUUUUGUAUUUAAUUCGGUCUUGGUGUUUUGUAAAGAGUAUAAGAUUCAGUUUACAUCAAAAAAACUAAAAAAAAAUUAUUCAACAUAAUUUAGUCACAAAAAUCAAAAUUCAACUUCAUAUUAAAGUAAAUAUGAACGUCUUGCAUUUUGAGCUGCAUAAUUAUCGAUUAAAAUGUUAUAAUCAAGUUUCUACAA